rnacentral:rRNA from 1 species
AUUGAACGCUGGCGGCAGGCCUAACACAUGCAAGUCGAACGAGUGGCGGACGGGUGAGUAAUGUCUGGGAAACUGCCUGAUGGAGGGGGAUAAAUACUGGAAACGGUAGCUAAUACCGCAUACCAUCAGAUGUGCCCAGGUGGGAUUAGCUGGUUGGGGGGGUAACGGCUUACCAAGGCGACGAACCCUAGCUGGUAUGAGAGGAUGACCAGCCACACUGGAACUGAGACACGGUCCAGACUCCUACGGGAGGCAGCAGUGGGGAAUAGUGCACAAUGGGCGCAAGCCUGAUGCAGCCAUGCCGCGUGUGUGAAGAAGGCCUUCUGGGUGUAAAGUACUUUAAGCGGGGAGGCGUUACCGGCAGAAGAAGCACCGGCUAACUCCGUGCCAGCAGCCGCGGUAAUAC